GUUGCACAGACAGGACCCAGGGGGGUGGAGUCAGUGGGUCUAUAAAACUGGUUCUGAGAGGAGUUCUGGGAGGAGUUCGUUGGGAGUUGUUGGUGGGCAGUUGGUUGGGUUUCAUGGGUUGGCUGGUUGGGAAAGGCAGUUGGUAAUAGAGAGACAGUUAGGGCGGUUGGUCCUUGAGUGUGGGGAGGUAGCAGAGAUAGAGAGAGGAACAUAAGACUAAGAAAGUAAAGAGGAACACCGUUUGCCACAAGACCAACCCAAGCAUUUGCAUCUCCUUCGAGUUUGAUAGCCACUUGAUCUCCUGGCUCGUGAAUCUGGUCAUCUUCCCGAUGUUCUCCUUUCACAACCAGCUGCUUGAACAAGGCAACAAAGAAGUUCAGUUCCGUGGCAGGGAAAGUGCCUGAAUGACUGUCUUGGGAGGGAAGAAGAAUCACUAUUUUAUAUUAAGUCAGUCUUUUAAAUAUUUGUAAAGAUACUUUGCCAAUCUCCCCUACGUUUCCUUCUCCGAGAGCUGAACAAGGGGACAAGCAAAGGGUAGCUUCCUGAUCAGACAGCCAAUCAACACUGUGCAACCUGGUAAACAGUGACAUUUGGAGCACAUAAAUCGGAUAUGCUUAAGAUGAAUAUACUGUAUAUUAUAUCUUAAUAUAUCUGAAAAGCAAGCCUGUCAGUUAGCCUGUUCAUUUAGAGAAGGUUCAGUUCAGUUGUAUAUCUAUGGAUGUUUGCCUGUUAAUAAAAUACCUGUUCUAAAUUA